CAGUGAUCGUCAACGCCUCCACGUCGGGUCUGCUUCUUCUCUCCUCUCCUUAUUGCUUCUGCCGUUGCUUAGCUUGUCAUUCUCGGGUGGAUAGUCCGAGGGAUCGGCGGGUUCUGGUUCUUCUGGAGGAUCUUCAGUUAAAUCAUCUCAUUCUAGAUUUCAAGUUAGCAGAAGAUUCGAAGCUCGCGCGCGCUUCAACGAUACGGCCAGUACUUGGUAUGGAGGAGGAUGAUUGGAUUCGAAAGCGAAAGCUGAUUUUGUUGUUUGGGGUGGUGACUUGAUCUUAUCGGCGGAUACUUGAGCACCUCAUCUGAUUCGAGGGAUUGCCACAGAGUGUGGGGUUGAUUUCGAUGAGUCUUGUACACCACAGGGUUGGAGAAGCAGAUGAGCCAGCAAUAUAUAUAUAGGAUAAAGGAUGAUCUGGUAUGGUAUGGUUUCUACAUCUUCCGACUCUCCCAAAGUUUCCUAUCCUUAGGUGAUAUAAUACCCGGGUGAAUCUGCGCGGCAACGGCAAGCUUAUAAUGUGGCCUUUUUUUUUUUUUUGUGCAAACAUAUUCUCCAUUACUUAAACUUGAGAAAUCCUACAAUAAUUCAGAGCUUUUACAGCUCCAUUAUCAUUACAAACUGCCAACUUGGUGGCUAAACAAGAGAUUAAAAUACUUAAGAUAGAUAAAUCACAUAACUUCAAUU